GCAGGGACAGUACCCAACCCCACUAUCUGGUAUCCACCGUGGUGCCCAGCAUGGUGCCUGGUACUUAGGAAGUGCUUAACAAAUACCAUUGAACAGGAAACAAAAAAGAAAAAGGAGAGGCAGAGUGGAGGAAACAGUGGGGCCUGAGACUGGAGAUGUCUCAGUGAAGAGUUAGAUUUCAUUGAUUGAUUCGUUCAUUCACUCAUCCAUUUUUAUUUAUUGAGUAUCCUCCCGGGUGCAAAGCAUUGUACUAAGCUCUGGAAAAGUACUAGACGAGAAUUAGACCUGAUCCUCAAGGGGUUUGUGAAUGGGUUGCAGGUGUCUCUAAUUCAGGUUGUUUUUCCAGAUCCCUUUAAUGAUGAGCAGCUGCAAAUCCCCUUCUCCUUAAUAACCUUCUGCCUCUUCCUUCCUUGAUCCUAAGCAAUCCAGUCUCUCCAUUAGGUGCUUUUCACUGGGGCAGGUGUCACUGCUUCUUUAAAGCCCCAGAGGCUGCUGGCCAUUUUGCUACCUCAUAUAGGGUCUGAGGGGCUUUUUCCUCUAGGCUGUGGCAAGGAGAGGGAGUAGGUUCUUCUCAGUUUUGAGAGAGCAGUAUUUGUGAUAUUCCCUUGCUUAGGUUUUCUUUUGUUGAGAGAAUGUGGAGAAAGUUGGAGUUGGUAUGUGGAGUUGGCUCCACGGCUGGAUAGGCAAUGUUGACUGCAUCAAUGAAGCGUAUGCUGCGAAGAGGGCUGAGAGUGGUGUGGGGAAUGUGUUCGAUACCGCUGAGUUGUACAUGUUGCCGACGUGGUGGCGAUGUUAUCUGUUGAGCGCUUACUAUGUGUGAAGCACUCGAGUGUGCUCCCAGUCAGCUAGUGUUUCCCACUCGACCAUAAAGUCACCAAGGCCAGUGACUUUCCACGUUCUCAACACUGCACCCUGUGUCUGGAAGGUGCUAGAAGGUGAG